GCGAAAACUUUACAAUGCUGGCAACAGCGAUAAGGGGACCUCGAGUGCCAGGUUACAAAUCUGGCUGUCGUAAUGCCUAAAAAGCAUUUCAUAGCAAGGGCCGGGCAAGACCGGUGCCAGCCGCCGCGGUAACACCGGCGGCUCGAGUGGUAACCGUUAUUAUUGGGUCUAAAGGGUCUGUAGCCGGCCGGAUAAGUCUCUUGAGAAAUCUGGCAGCUUAACUGUCAGGCUUUCAGGAGAUACUGUCUGGCUCGAGGCCGGGAGAGGUGAGAGGUACUUCAGGGGUAGGGGUGAAAUCUUGUAAUCCUUGAAGGACCACCAGUGGCGAAGGCGUCUCACCAGAACGGACCUGACGGCAAGGGACGAAAGCUAGGGGCACGAACC
rnacentral:rRNA from 1 species